UUGGAGGGCAAGUCUGGUGCCAGCAGCCGCGGUAAUUCCAGCUCCAAUAGCGUAUAUUAAAGUUGUUGCAGUUAAAAAGCUCGUAGUUGAAUUUCGGGGUUAGUAGGUUGGUCAUGCCUCUGGUAUGUACUGGUCUCACUGAUUCCUCCUUCCUUAUGAACCGUAAUGCCAUUAAUUUGGUGUUGCGGGGAAUUUGGACUGUUACUUUGAAAAAAUUAGAGUGUUUAAAGCAAGCUAACGCUUGAAUACAUUAGCAUGGAAUAAUGAAAUAGGACGUCGAUCUUAUUUUGUUGGUUUCUUAG
rnacentral:rRNA from 1 species